rnacentral:rRNA from 1 species
UACAGAGGGUGCGAGCGUUGUCCGGAAUCACUGGGCGUAAAGGGCGCGUAGGUGGCGACCCAAGUCGAUGGUGAAAGCUCGCCGCUCAACGGCGAGUCGGCCACCGAUACUGGGUUGCUCGAGCACUGUAGAGGCUAAUGGAAUUCCGGGUGUAGCGGUGGAAUGCGUAGAGAUCCGGAAGAACACCGGUGGCGAAGGCGGUUAGCUGGGCAGUUGCUGACACUGAGGCGCGGACAGCGUGGG